GCUGGGCACAGUGGUGCACGCCUGUAAUCCCAGUGGCUCAGGAGGCUGAGGCAGGAGGAUCGUGAGUUCAAAGCCAGCCUCAGCAAAAGCAAGGCGCUAAGCAACUCAGUGAGACCCUGUCUCCA
rnacentral:sRNA from 1 species